UACGUAGGGUGCGAGCGUUGUCCGGAAUUAUUGGGCGUAAAGAGCUCGUAGGCGGUGUGUCGCGUCGGCCGUGAAAACCUGGGGCUCAACUCUGGGCGUGCGGUCGAUACGGGCAUCACUGGAGUUCGGCAGGGGAGACUGGAAUUCCUGGUGUAGCGGUGAAAUGCGCAGAUAUCAGGAGGAACACCGGUGGCGAAGGCGGGUCUCUGGGCCGAUACUGACGCUGAAGCGCGAAAGCCAGGGGAGCGAACGGG
rnacentral:rRNA from 1 species